UAAAGUUCUGGAUAGAAUUAUGAUAAUGACAUUAUCUAUCUAAAAGUCUUGACCAAGUCACGUGCCAGCAGUCGCGGUAAUACGUGGAAGACAAGUGUUAUUCAUCUUUAAUUGGUUUAAAGGGUACCUAGACAGUUAAUUAAGCCUACCAGGGACUGAUUAACUAGAGUUUUAUGGGAGGGGGAUUGAGUACGGUGAGUGUAGAGAUGAUAUUCUGUACGUGGGACUGACAACGGCGAAAGCAACCCUUUAUGUUAAAACUGACGUUGAGGGACGAAGGCUCGAUAACGAACAGGAUUAGUUACCNUAGUAUUGUGGGCAGACAAUGAUGAGUGUCAUAUAUAAGUUUGUGUAUAAAUGAAAGUGUAAGCACUCCACCUCAAGAGUAAUAUGGCAACAUAUAACUGAAAUCAUUAGACCGUUUCUGAGACCAGUAGUGAAGUAUGUUGUUUAAUUUGAUGAUCCACAAAAAACCUUACCACCAAGCGUUGCACGGCUGUCUUCAGUUAAUGUCGUGAGAUUUUGGUUAACCCCAUUAAAUUAA
rnacentral:rRNA from 1 species